CAGCAGCCGCGGGAAUACGGAGGGUGCAAGCGUUAAUCGGAAUUACUGGGCGUAAAGCGCACGCAGGCGGUCUGACAAGUCAGAUGUGAAAUCCCCGGGCUUAACCUGGGAACUGCAUUUGAAACUGUCAGGCUGGAGUCUUGUAGAGGGGGGUGGAAUUCCAGGUGUAGCGGUGAAAUGCGUAGAGAUCUGGAGGAAUACCGGUGGCGAAGGCGGCCCCCUGGACAAAGACUGACGCUCAGGUGCGAAAGCGUGGGGAGCAAACAGGAUUAGAUACCCGGGUAGUCCCUGUCUCUUAUAC
rnacentral:rRNA from 1 species